rnacentral:rRNA from 1 species
AUUGAACGCUGGCGGCAGGCUUAACACAUGCAAGUCGAACGAGUGGCGGACGGGUGAGUAAUGUCUGGGAAACUGCCUGAUGGAGGGGGAUAACUACUGGAAACGGUAGCUAAUACCGCAUCCCAUCAGAUGUGCCCAGAUGGGAUUAGCUUGUUGGUGGGGUAACGGCUCACCCAGGCGACGAUCCCUAUCUGGUCGGAGAGGAUGACCAGCAACACUGGAACUGAGACACGGGCCAGACUCAUACGGGAGGCAGCAGUGGGGAAUAUGGCACAAUGGGCGCAAGGCUGAUGCAGCCAGGCCGCGUGUAGGAAGAAGGCCGUCGGGUUGUAAAGUACUUUCAGCGGGGAGGCGUUACCGGCAGAAGAAGCACCGGCUAACUCCGUGCCAGCAGGCGCGGUAAUAC